rnacentral:tRNA from 1 species
UGUCUCGUAGUUUAAUAGGUUAAAACGGACCCCUUAUAAGGGUUUAAUUUGGGUUCAAUCCCCGGCGGGACGACCA